rnacentral:lncRNA from 1 species
GCUCUUUAGUCCACCACGUCGCAAAUGGGACGCUGCUUCCUUUGGGCCUUUCCUGACCCUUCCAUUGUGGAUCAGUCUUCGUUUUAUGAGCUCCUUUAACGCUUUGUGUUGAUCCCUCAAUCUCAAUGGCAGCUAAAAGGAUGUAGCCUAGGGCACGUGCCCAGACUGUGCGGCUGCCCCGCUGCCCGGUUUGUCUUCUCCUGAGGAAGUGGAUGCCAUGUGUCACUUUGCAGAUGGAUCAAGUGCAGGAGGUGCCUGUUGGAGACGCAGAGCUCUGCAGCAGCAGGUGAGCUGAUGCUGCAACCUGCUAAACGCCGCUCCUGCGGAGCGCCAGGGCCCAGAGUGCACAUGGCUCUCAGGCUCCGUGAAAAGCUUGCAGUGAGCUCAGCCACUGAAAAGUCACUACGAAGAUGGAAAGCAAAAUGAAAACCGAGUCCUCGACACCGCUUCCUGGAGCUGUUCUGUGCAGAAGUUGAGUGAAGAUACUGCAGCGAGCCCUGGGUCUGAACGCCUGUGUGCUGACUCUAGACCUGCUCCUCAGCCCCAGUUUUCUCUGAAAAACCAGGAUUCUAGCACAACUCGUACCCCCAUUCUUUUCAGUCCUGCACCCACCAGCGAGCCGCAAGGCCCAGGAGCUACUGGCCCUGUUUUCCUGUCUCCAGUACUGGCCUUUGAUUUAUGAGAUGUCCCCUGUCUCCCCUGCUUCUGACCUCCCAGGAUGGCAUUUGGUGAUUUCUUGAUGUUCUCUUGCUUUGGCAUUAAAAUAUGGAUGGGAGUGUCAUUUCCAGAUCUUUUCCAGACCUGUGCAAUUCUUUCCAUUCUUCAUAACAGCCCAUGACCCACCUUCCUCUGUUUCAGCCACAAAGCUAGCCAUGCCUGUGUGCGCACUGCUGUUUCUCAUUGUUAAUAUUUUAACUGUUAUUAAAAAAAAAACUUUCUUUUAAACUGUGUGUGUAUGGUUUUAAAAAUUGACGCACUUCCAGAGCUCUCAACUUCUGCAGUCUUUCUGAGGUCCGUGUUCCUCUUCUUCAGCUGGGAAGCAAAUGCUUGACUU